rnacentral:rRNA from 1 species
UACGUAGGGUGCGAGCGUUAAUCGGAAUUACUGGGCGUAAAGCGUGCGCAGGCGGGCUUUUAAGCCAGACGUGAAAUCCCCGGGCUUAACCUGGGAAUGGCGUUUGGGACUGGGAGUCUGGAGUGCGGCAGAGGAGACUGGAAUUCCUGGUGUAGCAGUGAAAUGCGUAGAUAUCAGGAGGAACACCGAUGGCGAAGGCAGGUCUCUGGGCUGACACUGACGCUCAUGCACGAAAGCGUGGGGAGCGAACAGG